rnacentral:rRNA from 1 species
GACGAACGCUGGCGGCGUGCCUAAUACAUGCAAGUAGGACGCAGUUGCGAGCGGGUGAGUAACGCCUAGGUAACUACCUCUUCGCGGUGGCUAACUAUUGGAAACGAUAGCUAAUACCGCCUACUAGUAGAUUGACCUUCGUUGUAUUAGCUAGUAGGUAGGGUAAUGGCCUACCUAGGCAACGAUACAUAGCCGAACUGGGAGGGGGAUCGGGCACACUGGGACUGAGACACGGCCCAGACUCCUACGGGAGGCAGCAGUAGGGAAUGUUCGGAAAUGGGGGGAACCCUGACCGAGCAACGCCGCGGGAGUGAAGAAGGUUUUCGGAUCGUAAAGCGCUGUUGGGAAGGAAGCGGUACUUAACGAGAAAGGGACGGCUAACUACGUGCCAGCAGCCGCGGUAAUAC